rnacentral:rRNA from 1 species
AUACGGAGGGUGCGAGCGUUAAUCGGAAUUACUGGGCGUAAAGCGUGCGUAGGCGGUUUGCUAAGUCAGAUGUGAAAGCCCCGGGCUUAACCUGGGAACUGCAUUUGAUACUGGCAGACUUGAGUAUGAUAGAGGGGGGUAGAAUUCCUGGUGUAGCGGUGAAAUGCGUAGAUAUCAGGAGGAAUACCAGUGGCGAAGGCGGCCCCCUGGAUCAAUACUGACGCUGAGGUACGAAAGCGUGGGGAGCGAACAGGAUUAGAUACCCCAGUAGUCC